CCCUUAGAUGUUCUGGGCCGCACGCGCGCUACACUGAUCAGUGCAACAAGCAUCCGUCCUUGGCCGACAGGCCCGGGCAAUCUUUGAACGCUGAUCGGGAUGGGGAUAGACUUUUGCAAUUUUUGGUCUUCAACGAGGAAUUCCUAGUAAACGCAAGUCAUCAACUUGCAUUGAUUACGUCCCUGCCCUUUGUACACACCGCCCGUCGCACCUACCGAUUGAAUGGUCCGGUGAAGCCUCCGGAUUGGCGUGCACCCUCGGGUGCUGCCGAGAAGUUGGCUAAACCUUACCAUUUAGAGGAAGGUGAAGUCGUAACA
rnacentral:rRNA from 1 species